ensembl:miRNA
CGGGACAAGGUGAGUGGGGUGGUUGGCAUGGGUUGCCAAGUCCGGGGACUUGAUGCUGUGUCGACAGCUUCCUGUUGUCCUCCUCACACAUGCCCACCCUUUACCCCACUCC